rnacentral:lncRNA from 1 species
UGGGCCGCACAGGGCCUACUCACGGGCCUGGGAUGCAUGCCCGACAUGGCCUUCCAUAUCACUUUAGCUUUCAAAUUUGAGAUAGUUCCUUGGAGUUGCACUCGGUAGGCCGACUUUGCAGUAUAUUCACCAUUAGCAGUCCACCUCCACCUUAUAGAGUCUGGUUCAUUUGUUAGCUGAAUGCCCUGUAGCAUAUCCCAUAAAAGUAUGAAUUCUGCCAUCUCUUCAGCCGUUUCCAUGCGCCAUAAACCCCUUGUCCAAUUAAGUUUUGUGAGUUUAUCUUUGACCGUUCUAUUUUUCCUCCAUGCCAACUUGUACAGGCUUGGUGCAAUAUCCAUUGGUGCUUUCCCAUGUAGCCAAGGACUGUGCUAGAACUUUGCAGUUUUGCCAUCCCCCACCGACACUAUGGUGCUAAUUCUGAAAACCUGGCGAUCAGUGUUAUCACAAGGUAGUUCUGUGCCCACCCAAGGCCUAUCUAGAUCUGACCAUUCAUACCACAUCCAC